UACGUAGGGUGCGAGCGUUGUCCGGAAUUAUUGGGCGUAAAGAGCUUGUAGGCGGUUUGUCGCGUCUGCUGUGAAAAUCCGGGGCUCAACCCCGGACUUGCAGUGGGUACGGGCAGACUAGAGUGUGGUAGGGGAGACUGGAAUUCCUGGUGUAGCGGUGAAAUGCGCAGAUAUCAGGAGGAACACCGAUGGCGAAGGCAGGUCUCUGGGCCACUACUGACGCUGAGGCGCGAAAGCGUGGGGAGCAAACGGG
rnacentral:rRNA from 1 species